rnacentral:rRNA from 1 species
CGCCGCCGCCCGUCCCUCCUCCGCGCUGCCUCCACUGCGGCGCCCCCGUCCCCCGACCUCUCCAUCCAGCUCUCUCCCCGCCCUUCCCCGCGCGCCUCGCCUCCCGUAGUACCAUCCCUCGCCCGCGACCGCGCAGAGGACCUGCAGGCCGAGUCCCGCGCCAUGACCCGAGCCGCUGCCGCCACCGUCUACACCCCCGAGCUACUCGCCUCCCGCUACGGCUCCCAACCUUUCCAGGUGGCGAUGAGAGCGGCGGAGGUGCUCUCGAAGCUGGGGGCAUUCGGGCUAAAGCUGCUGCUCGACCAGCAGAGGGGGGAGUCGUCCUCGUCAGCGAAGAGGCGUGCCAGGGCGGUCGAGCUGCGAACUGUACUGACAAGGCUUGGCCCGACGUUCGUCAAGAUUGGGCAGGGUUUGUCCACGCGGCCUGACCUCUGCCCGACUGAGUAUCUCGAGGAGCUCUCCGAGCUGCAGGAUUCUCUCCCCACAUUUCCAGAUGAAGAGGCAUUUGCCUGUGUCGAGAGGGAGCUUGGCUUUCCUCUUGAUUCAAUGUACUCAGCAAUGUCACCUUCACCGAUAGCUGCAGCAAGUUUAGGUCAAGUUUACAAGGCACGGUUGAAAUACUCUGAGCAGUUGGUAGCUGUCAAGGUGCAAAGACCUGGCAUCGAGGAUGCCAUAGGCCGUGAUUUUUACCUACUGAGGGGACUUGGUUUUCUAAUAAAUAAGUAUGUCGACAUUAUAACUACUGAUGCAGUUGCUCUGAUAGAUGAAUUUGCCCGAAGAGUUUUCCAAGAGCUUAAUUAUGUCCAGGAAGGCCAAAAUGCACGAAGGUUUAAAAAAUUAUAUGCUGACAAGCAAGACAUAUUGGUCCCUGAUAUAUUUUGGGAUUACACAAGUGCAAAGGUACUGACAAUGGAAUGGAUUGAGGGUGUAAAGCUUAAUCAACAAGCUGCCAUUGAAGGCCAAGGCUUGAAGGUCCUGGACUUGGUAAACAUUGGUAUACAGUGUAGCCUAAGGCAGCUACUAGAGUAUGGUUACUUUCAUGCUGACCCGCAUCCUGGUAAUAUUUUGGCAACACCUGAAGGGAAGCUUGCUUUUCUUGAUUUUGGCAUGAUGAGUGAAACCCCAGAGGAUGCAAGGGUAGCCAUCAUAGGGCAUGUCGUUCACAUGGUCAAUCGGGAUUAUGAAGCGAUGGCUCGUGAUUAUUAUGCACUUGAUUUUCUGAAACCUGAAGUGGAUGUAUCCCCAAUCGUACCUGCCCUCAAGAAUUUUUUUGAUGAUGCUUUGGAUUCAACAGUGAGUGAGCUAAACUUUAAAACCAUAGUUGAUGGCUUAGGCGCUGUUCUUUAUCAGUACCCAUUCAAUGUACCGGCCUACUAUGCGUUGAUACUGCGAUCACUCACUGUGCUGGAAGGUCUGGCGCUCUAUGCUGAUCCUAAUUUUAAGGUGCUUGCUGCCUCAUAUCCUUACUUUGCUAAAAGAUUACUCACAGAUCCCAAUCCAUAUCUCAGAGAUGCUCUGAUUGAGCUGCUAUUCAAGGAUGAAAAAUUCAGGUGGAAUAGGCUUGAAAAUCUUCUUGUUCAAGGACGCCAGGAUAGAGAGUUUGUAGCAAAGGAUGCUCUACAACCGGUUUUGAAACUUCUACUUGGUCCAGAUGGGGAGAAUUUAAGAGUGCUAGUUGUGAAAGAAGCGGUUCGUGUCACAGAAGCCAUCACCUUCGGAACACUGAUUGAUUCAUACAACGCAGCUCCAGAAUUUUUGAAGCCAUUAAUAUCCAAUGGCAAUCCAGCUGGACCAUUUAAGAUAAGUGAUGUUGAGCGGGAACAAAUGUUGGAGCUACGAGACACUGUUCUCAGAAUAUGGGGUCUUUUGAGAUCCUCUGAUACCUUUGAUCCAAGUCUUUUGCAGCCAAUUGUACAGGUGCUACAAGAGCGUGAAGCCCGUGUGUUUGGUUCUCGUAUUGCUGGAGGUGUCUCGCAGCGCCUUGCAGCCCGCUUGCUGCAGCAGCUACUCAGGAUCCCACCUGCACCUGUUCCUGGAUCUUCUUAG